rnacentral:rRNA from 1 species
UACGUAGGGUGCGAGCGUUGUCCGGAAUUAUUGGGCGUAAAGGGCUCGUAGGCGGUUUGUCGCGUCGGGAGUGAAAUCCACUGGCUUAACUGGUGGCUUGCUUUCGAUACGGGCAGACUGGAGGUAUGCAGGGGAGAACGGAAUUCCUGGUGUAGCGGUGAAAUGCGCAGAUAUCAGGAGGAACACCAGUGGCGAAGGCGGUUCUCUGGGCCUUACCUGACGCUGAGGAGCGAAAGCGUGGGGAGCGAACAGG